AGCAGCCGCGGUAAUUCCAGCUCCAAUAGCGUAUAUUAAAGUUGUUGCAGUUAAAAAGCUCGUAGUUGAAUUUCGGGAUUGACGUGAUGGUCGUGCCUUACGGGGUAUGAACUGUUGCAGUCAAUUUCUCACCUUCUGGAGAAAUAUGAUGUCCUUAAUUGGGUGUCGUAUGGAACCAGAACUUUUACCUUGAAAAAUUAGAGUGUUUAAAGCAGGCUUAUUGCUCGAAUACAUUAGCAUGGAAUAAUAAAAUAGGACGGCAUGGUUCUAUUUUGUUGGUUUCUAGGAUCACCGUAAUGAUUAAUAGGGAUAGUUGGGGGCAUUAGUAUUCAAUUGUCAGAGGUGAAAUUCUUGGAUUUAUUGAAGACUAACUACUGCGAAAGCAUUUGCCAAGGAUGUUUUCAUUAAUCAAGAACGAAAGUUAGGGGAUCGAAGACGAUCAGAUACCGUCGUAGUCUUAACCAUAAACUAUG
rnacentral:rRNA from 1 species